CGAGAAAGCCCGCAAGGGUGAGUAAAGCGGCGCACGGGUGCGUAACACGUGGGUAAUCUGCCCUGGAGUCCGGAAUAACUCGCCGAAAGGCGUGCUAAUGCCGGAUGAGACCACGGGAGCUCCGGCUCCUGCGGGAAAAGGUGGCCUCUGUAUACAAGCUAUCGCUUCAGGAUGAGCCCGCGGCCCAUCAGCUCGUUGGCGGGGUAAUGGCCCACCAAGGCUACGACGGGUAGCUGGUCUGAGAGGACGAUCAGCCACACUGGAACUGAGACACGGUCCAGACUCCUACGGGAGGCAGCAGUGGGGAAUCUUGCGCAAUGGGCGAAAGCCUGACGCAGCAACGCCGCGUGUGUGAUGAAGGUCUUCGGAUCGUAAAGCACUGUCGCGAGGGACG
rnacentral:rRNA from 1 species